CCGAGUAAGGGUGUCUCCUCGGAGCGCCCGACCUCCCAACCCUUUGUCUACCAAACCUCAUGUUGCUUCGGCAGGCCCGCCAACGGGGGGCCCGUCAGCCUUUAUCCGCUGGCGGACUCUAUCCUCCCUGGCCGCCGGGGGUCCCUAAGACCCCGGGCCCGCGCCUGUCGAUGGCCCUCUUACAAAUUCUUUGUUAACAAACGUGUCGUCUGAGUUUUACAAAAACAAAAUAAAAACAA
rnacentral:misc_RNA from 1 species